UGGUAAUGAGUGGAUGAAUUUUUUGUUUGGAUGGGGGGGGGUUGUUUUAAAAAUAAUCAUUUUUUUUGACC
rnacentral:rRNA from 1 species